AAAUAUUAAGAUUCUCAGUUUGCUUGAAGGUUGUGGUGGUUUUUUGGUUUUAAUAACAAAAACCUCAAGCCUGAAAAUGAUAGUUCAGUCCUUUUCCCAUGGCAUCUUUGAGCCUUUUUCCAAUAUGGUAAGCAGGGUGAGAACUGAUUAUGUUGUAAAAAUUAAAAUAAUCUCAGUUUAAAGCCUAUCAAGUAAAAAUAGUUCUAGUUUUAAAAUGAGAAAUACUAUUUUACAUGUUAUAAAAGAAAGUGUUCACCUCAGAGCUGGCUUUUUUUUCCCUCUCCUCAGCAAUUAGGUAUUCACAGUCUCCAAAGGGAGGUUAGCAAAGACAGUAGUUCGAUUGGAAGGGGCCUACAAAGGUGCAGGUGGAGUUUGUGAUCAGCAAAAGCAGGAGUGUUACAAGCAGUAUGCACUCUGUGUCAUCUGUAGAUGUAAUUCAACUGUUUCAAGUCUGCUAAAACAGUGGUAGCUACAUGGGUGAGGCAGGACUUGGGCAGGUAACAUGCAGUUUUACUUCAGUUGCUGCUGGGGUGAGAGUCCCUACCUCCUUCCCCAUGGGAAGGUACCCUAACCCAGGAACACUUCAUGCAGCACUGAAAUGGAGGCCUUCACAGAAAGAUAAACCUCAGUAUGCUUCUCCAGUGAAAUAUAUUACACAUUUGUUAGUUUUUGGGUAACAGCCAAAUCAUUCCUUGUCCCUCCCCACACACGCUUCCAUUUAUAAAUGAAGUCUUCAGUCUUUUGAAUGUCAUACAAAACUGUUCAAAACCAGACUUGAGCAAUUGAAAUUCAAUUAGUUCAAUCAGAGUGAUUCAAUUGACACAGCUGAGUUCUGCAAUCUGAACAAAAGAUUUUGC
ensembl:lncRNA